AACAAUGUCAAGAGGAAUUCAAAUGUUUUCUUAGCAAUUCCUUCCAACGACCCCCAAAGUAGCAUUGUCAUCCUUGGCCAUCAUGUAGUCGUGCAAAUGAGGAUGGCGGAAGAACCACUGUCGGUAACAGAUGAAGAACUGGAGGAACACAAUA